UGUUUUUUGGAUUUUCGCUGUGCCGUUGCUUCAUUCCGUGCCGCUUGAGCGUGUGAGUGCGCGCGUGUGUGUGAGGAGGUGAAGAGAGGAAGCAAGAAGGAAGCCGCAAAAGGAAAAUCCAAUUCCGAGAAAUCUUAUCAAUGAGCCAAAGACUAAUUGAAAAAUAAUCGAGAUGCGUGUGUUUUAAUAGAGCAAAUUUAGUUUCUAGUUUUUAUUCGGCAUUUUGGUCCGCUUUUUAAUCGGUCUGUUUUGGUGUGUGUGAGUGUGGGUGUACCACGCCUACGCUGGAAAUGGCAGCAACGGUUUACCAACGCCUACAUAGCGUCGCCGUCGGCGUCGGCAGCGCAGUCGGCAGCGGAUCUGCUUCCUUCUCAGGAUCAGGAUCGGGAACAGGCCCUGGAAAUACCUCCUCCUCCGCCCUUCUCAGCCAGUCCCAGCUGACGCGCUCGCUGGAACGAAUCCUGGAAGAGGCACACUUCAGCGGGGAGCUCAUCCUGACCAAUCGCAAGCUGAAGGACUUUCCCAGAUCGGGAACGAAGUACUCGCUCACGGAUACCGUCAUCGCAGAUCUGUCCCGGAAUAGAUUCGCCGAGCUGCCCGAAGAAGUCACGACGUUUGCCUUCUUGGAGACCCUGCUGCUGUAUCACAACACAAUUCGCAGCAUUCCGGAGUCGGUGAAGCAGCUAUCCUCGCUAACCUACUUGGAUCUGCGCAGCAAUCAGCUAUCCUCGCUACCACGGGAGAUUUGUUUCCUGCCCCUUCAGGUGCUUCUGGUGUCCAACAAUCGGUUGGCCUCGUUGCCGGAUGAACUGGGUCGAUUGGAUCAGACCCUGACCGAUCUGGAUGCUUCGUACAACCAGCUGGCCAACUUACCAGCCCGCUUGGGCGAGCUGAGAACUCUGCGUUCGCUUUCGCUGAGAAGCAAUCUCCUGAUGUAUCUGCCCAGGGAGUUGACCUGCUUAAGUCUGAUUUCCCUGGAUGUGAGCAACAAUAAGAUUGCUAGUCUGCCGUUGGAGAUUCGGCACAUGAGCACUUUGGUGGAGCUGCAACUGGAGAAUAAUCCUCUGACCUCGCCACCAGCUAGUCUCUGCAUGCGCGGCCUGGUGCAUGUGUUCAAGUUUCUGGAGACGCAGGCCACCAAGGACGAGAAGGGCUCCCGGUCGGGUGGUAACUAUGAUGGCUACACCACAUUGCGGAGAGCUCCCCGCCACAAUUCCAGCGGCAAUGUCCUGGAAGCCAGCACCAGUGGCAGCAGCAGCAGCAACCAGCGAAGGCAUCAGGUCGACUCGGGCUAUAGCACCAGCGAUGGUCUGGACAAGCGCUGGUCGCACGACAAUCCAGCCAAAUCGAAAACGGACUCACCGCUGCACUGCGUCUCCAGUUCGGCGGCCGCCACUUUGCCCAGAACGCUGCCAAGUGCGGUGCAUUCACAUGCCGAUCUGAUGGAUGCAUCCCUCACCUCCAGCACUAGCACGAUUGUGGAUGAGAGUCUCACCCUGAGUCCCACGGCAUCGCCCUGCAAGCUGAGCUAUACGCAUUCGAAUAGCUCCAGCAAUGGAUCCUCCCCGGAUCAGGACGAGGACAUCAUGCUGGACCACCAGGAGCGCACCGUUCAUCCCUCCAACGGAAAGGCCGGAAAGAGCCUCGGCAAUAUUCAGACCUACAAGGAGUACAAGGAGGCCCUGAAGCAGCAGCGCAACCAGGAGAUCAGCGUCUACAAGCAGAAGCAUCCGAAUGCCAAUCACAGUCCCAAUGACGACGACGAGGAUCUAUCCCCGUCGCCGCCGGGCAUCUCGAACGGAUCUUCCUCAAACCCACUACCAAAGUCCAUAAUGAAACAGAACAGCAACCAAAACAACAGUCACAAUGCGAACGGAAAUGGAAACGGAAACGGGAAUGGACUCGACGAUGUUGUCAUACCAAAGAAACCCAUACAGAAGGUUAUACCGUCUCGGAAUACGGAAAUAAAGCCGGCAUCCGCAUCAGGCAUUCCCUCGGCCAUUUCCGCGGAUUGUUUGGGCUACGUGAAACCGCAGAGUCCGAUGAAGAAUGGCACAGCCAAAUUCAAUACGUCCAACGGUGGUGGCGGAGUGCCACCAACAGUGGGAAUCGCAAGCAGCACCACCAUCAAAUCGCCAGUGAGCUCCACCACCAAGCUGGGCACAGUGAAGACACACCGAUCGGUGACCUGGAACCACGAUAUUCCUGCUGAGAAGCUGAGCUUCACCAUGCGACGGGAGUUCGAUCGCCAGAGGGAGGAAACCGAACUGAUGUCACAGUUGAGGAUUAUCAUUGAAACGCGUUUGAAGAUGACGUUGCCCGUGGAUAUUGCCUCAGCCCUGACAGAUGGUGUUAUACUGUGCCAUUUGGCCAACUACGUGCGUCCGCGUUCAGUGGCCAGCAUUCAUGUGCCAUCUCCUGGCGUGAAUAAGUUGACUAUGGCCAGGUGUCGUCGCAAUGUGGAUAAUUUUUUGGAAGCAUGCCGUCGCAUUGGCGUUGAUGAGGAGUUGAUUUGCUCCUGUGAAGAUGUUGUGCCACAAAUUGAACCGCAACAACAACAAUUGCCACGCGCUGACGAUGACUAUGAUGCUGAUGUGUAUGUCCAAGAUGAUGGCAGCAUCAUCAGCAGCAACAGCAACAGCAAUAUGAAAUGCAGCAACGAUGACAGCAGCUGCGGCAACCAUAUUCAAAUAGUUCCCAAUGCAUUGGCCCUACUGCGUACAGUGACCGCUCUGAUUGCCCUGGAUGAAAAUCCGUAUCAUCAGCAGCGCCAUCAUCAUCUUCAGCUGAGGCAGCAAUCAGUUGUUGUUGUUGGACAACAGCUGCAGCUGCAGCAGCAACACUUCGAGCACGAGCAAGAGCAAUUCAGUGAGCCAACUACCUGCAGCCAACAGCAAGAACAGAUGUUGCUGUUGCAGCAGCAACAGCAGCAGCUAGAGCAUGUUUUGUAUGAGAAUGGCCAGCCGAGGGCUGAAAAUGAUGAUGGGGUUGAGGAUCGUGAUUAUGAUGAUGAUGAUGAUGAUGAUGGUGUAGGCAAACGGCAGCAGCAACUGGCGACAGUGGGUCAAAUGCUGCUGAGGGCCAAGCAGAAAACCUAUGAGAAAAUCAAGCACAAUCUGCUUAGUGCCCAUGGUCAGCAUAAUUUCCAGAGUAACAAUAACAACAGAAUGUUGCACACGAUUGUGGAGAAUGAGCACGAUGUGGCCGCCGCUGGACCGGCGGGUCAUUAUCAAAUUAUCGACGAAAAACAGGAGCAGCCGCAGCAGCAGCAGCAGCAACAAUUAGAGGACCUCAAGGGUGCAGGAUCACUGGCCAGCGCAACCAAGGAAGCCAUUAGCAAGCGCAUCGAAUUCUUCGAACAGCAAAAGCAUGGCAAACUGGAGGUCUUCAGCAUCUACUUACCCAAGGAGAAAAACAAGCAACUCGAGCAGAAAAUAAAAGCCAAGACCAACGAAGCUGGAACUUCAUCUUUAUUAAAGCACGAUUCUCACACCUUGACAGUGAUCCUGUCGUGCGUGUUCAUAGCCACCUUCCUCUGGCUGGUCUUUUUCCCGCUGCCCGGCUAGUCCAUAUAGUAUAUAGCUUCAAUAUCUAUGCCUUUGUUUGCCAAUAGAUUUAAGAUCGAAAAACAGAGAGUUAGAGCAGCUAUUGCGCUUAUCCACGUGGUAGUGAGUUUAUGAGGCUGCUUUUGUUUAACGCUUCUGUAGGCUUAAGCCCCAUAUUUAUGAUACAUACUAUACCUAAAUUUUAAUCUAAGAAAUCCCCCCCAAAGGACAACACAACAAAUAGGCAACUUUUGAGGCAUUUAAUUGAGAGACAACCCAAAGACUUUGAAACUGUAAUCAAUUUAAGGCUCGUAUUACCCUUUCAUUAAUUAGGGGUAUGCACAUUUGUGGAUUAAACAUCUAUACUACUUAAAAAAUACAAUUUUAAGUUCCAUGAAAAAAAAUACAAAUGCUCCUUUUGAGUUCCAACCUAAAGUUCCUUUGAAACAAUGUUUUCUAUACUUUCUAUAAUUUUUGUCUUCUUUAAGAUAUUUAAUAUUUAUGUAUCUCACAAUCAUAAGCAUUAGUUAUGACAACUAUUAGUUAUAUUAUUUUUUAGCAAUGUAUUCCUAAAGAAUAUUACUGCAACAUAAACUAUUUAUUAACCUGAAUUCAAUUAUUAUUAUAUCAUCUAUCAACUUGACUAUAUACAAAGUUACCUUUAAACGACUUCGAACGUGCAUACCCUUAGAAAAAUAUUAAAAAAGAGCCGUUUUAUAGAUACCCCUCAAUAAUCACAUAUUCCUAGUUCAUGUACAAGUUAUUGAACUCUAAAUUUCAUUAAGAAUAAAAAAACGAAAUUUUCAUUUGCUUAUCCACGGUUUGAGUCGUGCUGAACUGAAGAAAAAACAUUACCAAAACGCUUCUUUUUUUAUUAUAUUUAACAUAUACCAUUAAGAAAAUACACGAUUGACUCAAGUUACAACGAAACUAAAUUGAUUUAAGUUCCACUCUGGCAAAAAGUCAAAUGAAAACGUAAAAAUAUAUAGGUAGAAGACACGAUAGAUACCAAUUAGAUUUUUAAGAUGAGAAAAUAAGGAAAGAGAUUUGUUACAGUUUGAUGGACAUUAAUUCUGGUAGUUUUUUGAAAAAAAAAACUAUUAGAAUUGUAUGAAGUUAUACGGUUUAACUUGAAGCAGGGACACUCAAAAUAGUUGUAGAAAAGCGUGAAAUAGUUAAAGAAUGAAGUUUAUGAUAUGUGGCCAACCAAUUUCAAAAAGGAAUCUUUUAAAAAAGGUGAAGAAUAAUAUAUGUAUUUUGUCAAGUGCACACAGCUUUUAAUGAUUUUUUUUCAUUUGAGCUUAAAUUUAAUGUUUGACAAGGAAAAAUCACUUUAAGCAUUAUUUUUUUGUCAUUUUCUUACCAUUGAAAAAAGUAUUUUUAAUGUACAAACUAUAUGUGGCCAAGAAAACUGUAAAAAGUUUAUUAAAAUACAACAGCAAACAUCACUUUCACUUGAAUAAAAUUAAAUGAGCAGAAUUUCAUAAAAAAAAGACCAUUCAAAUACAAAUAAUAAUCACAAAAUAGUGCCUUUGACUGGAGAUCGGCGACAUUGUAGUCUGCCUAUAACCAAAAGCUAUAUUGUAUUUAUCCUUCUUGAAAGCAAUUAUUUGUCAUUUAUACAUUUCCCAAGAAGUACUGGACGCUUUUCUCUUCCAAUUUAAUUUGAAAAAGAAGUUUAUUUGCUUAAACUUUAAAUGUGCUAACAACAUUCCUAACAUUAUAAAAUAUUUAUUUAAUUUAAGAUUAUAAUUGUACUUAAGCAAUCGAAAACAAAAUUAAAUCCAAUCAAAUUUUUUCAAAAACACAAUCUCUUACACUCAGAAAAGAAAUAAGAUAAAUAUAUAUAUUUACCUAGCGUCUAAAAUCAGAAAUAUAUAUUUUGUCUAACAAAAUUAUUAAAGGAAAACAAUGUAUUGAGGCAGCUGUAAUCAGUCAUUAAUUUUUAUAAAAAAAACGUAUUUAUCAUGCAUAUAUACUACAAAAUAUAUACGAAAUCUCCAAAAUGAAAAAUGAAGCCAAAACUUUAUAUCAGAAUUUGUCAAAGGAAUAUUCUAUACAUUCACUUCCAAACCAAAUGAAAAUAAAACCGUUGCAUUACAAUUUAAGCACAAACUGUCAACUAAGCGCUAUAUAUACAUGUGAAAUCAAAGAGCAAAAUAUAUAUGACAUACAAAAAAAAAUUGAAAAUUUAUUCAAAUUUGAAGAUUAUAGUUUGAAAGUAAUUAUGACAAAGCUAAGACACAAACCAUUAUGAGUAAAGCAAGCGUUGCUUAGCCAAGGCAUGAUCCAACGGCUUUCAAACUGUGGCGUGCUGUGAAUUCGGAAAAUAAAACAAACUAAAUUAGACAACGAUCUAAAGAGUAAAAUAUAAUCUAGCUAUGGUUGUUUAAGUAAAGUUUUCGAUGAUUUUGAGUUCAUUCAACAAAACUACCACAUUUUCUUUUUUAUAAUUUGUAUUUUACAUUAAGUAACAAGUUUUUUCUUUGAGGUUUUUGUUUUAUUGUCAAACAAAAAAUAAAAGUCUUAUUUUCAAACAUACUUUAAGUAUUCAAAUUGAAAGGAACAAAUAAAAAUAAAACUCAAGGAAGCUAAAUCAUACCAAGUAAUGAUUAUUUGUAUUUAUAUAACAUAAGAAUCUAAUUUGCUGUGCUGCCGACGUUCUGGAGGGUAAAGGUGCCGUUCAAGUGGCCAUCACGGUGGGUGAGCUUUUCCGGCUUCAUGGAAAUGGUGGUUGCGGC